GCGGCGAUAGCUCAGUGGGUAAAGCGUCAGUGAGAUUUCUGCGCGGGUUCGAAUCCCGCCUGUGGCA